rnacentral:lncRNA from 1 species
CGUCUGGUAAUUGAAAGUGCAAAGAGGCAAUUAGGUUCAAACUUAGCCCAUUAGUGUAGCAGCAGAUUGGCAAGUUGACAUAACAACUAUUUGCGAAUCUACAUGCAAUCUGAUGUUACUAAGGUAACUGAAAUGCUCAGCAAUCUCCUCGGAAGUCCCUAAGAAGAUAAAGUGGUCAGCGCUGCCGUACUUUGAAAAUGUCAGCCCUGCUUUUUACAG